rnacentral:rRNA from 1 species
GUGCCAGCAGCCGCGGUCAUACCGGCAGCCCGAGUGAUGGCCACUCUUAUUGGGCCUAAAGCGUCCGUAGCUGGCCGCGCAAGUCCGUCGGGAAAUCCAUCAGCCCAACUGAUGGGCGUCCGGCGGAAACUGCACGGCUUGGGACCGGAAGGCUCGAGAGGUACGUCCGGGGUAGGAGUGAAAUCCCGUAAUCCCGAACGGACCACCGAUGGCGAAAGCACUUCGAGAAAACGGAUCCGACAGUGAGGGACGAAAGCCAGGGUCUCCAACCGGAUUAGAAACCCGUGUAGUCC